rnacentral:rRNA from 1 species
UGGGGAAUAUUGCACAAUGGGGGAAACCCUGAUGCAGCGACGCCGCGUGAGCGAAGAAGGUUUUCGAAUCGUAAAGCUCUGUCCUAUGGGAAGAUAAUGACGGUACCAUAGGAGGAAGCCCCGGCUAACUACGUGCCAGCAGCCGCGGUAAUACGUAGGGGGCAAGCGUUGUCCGGAAUCACUGGGCGUAAAGGGUUCGCAGGCGGAAAUGCAAGUCAGUUGUGAAAGGCAGAGGCUCAACCUCUGUAAGCAAUUGAAACUGUAUUUCUUGAGAUGUGGAGAGGAAAGUGGAAUUCCUAGUGUAGCGGUGAAAUGCGUAGAUAUUAGGAAGAAUACCGGUGGCGAAGGCGACUUGCUGGACACAAACUGACGAUGAGGAACGAAAGCGUGGGUAGCAAACAGG